rnacentral:rRNA from 1 species
GAGCGAACCGGAUUAGAUACCCGGGUAGUCCACGCCGUAAACGAUGGAUACUAGCUGUUGGAGGUAUCGACCCCUUCAGUAGCGAAGCUAACGCGUUAAGUAUCCCGCCUGUGGAGUACGGCCGCAAGGCUAAAACAUAAAGGAAUUGACGGGGACCCGCACAAGCGGUGGAUCGUGUUCUUUAAUUCGAUGCUAAACGAAGAACCUUACCAGGGCUUGACAUCCAGGGAAUUUUUGGGAAACCAAUUAGUGCCGUUUGGAACCCUGUGACAGGUGAUGCAUGGCCGUCGUCAGCUCGUGUCGUGAGAUGUUUGGUUAAGUCCAUCAACGAGCGCAACCCUUGUGUCUAGUUGUAUUUUUCUAGACAGACUGCUUCGGUAACGGAGAGGAAGGAGGGGAUGAUGUCAGGUCAGUAUUUCCCUUACGUCCUGGGCUAGAAACACGAUACAAUGGCUAGUACAAUGCGCANGCGAAGCCGCGAGGUGAAGCAAAUCGCACCAAAGCUAGUCCCAGUUCGGAUUGGAGGCUGAAACUCGCCUCCAUGAAGUCGGAAUCGCUAGUAAUCGCAAAUCAGCAAGUUGCGGUGAAUACGUUCCCGGGUCUUGUACACACCNGCCCGUCAAACCAUGAAANGUGACCAACACCCGAAGUCCGAUUCGUCGGCCUAAGGUGGGGGGCAUGAUUGGGGUU